UUCGCCUCUUCUCUCACCACUCAUCUCUCAGAUCUUCUCAAAUCUCACAUCGCCGGUGCCCUGGGACUCACCGCUCACGACCUCAACCCUCACUCCCCUCAAUGACUCACGGCCUCACGUAGACGCGGAUCUUUCUUUGAGAGGCUUUUGGCUCUAAAAGUGGUUACGUUCAGAUAAAGUAGAACAGUUUCAUGGCAUGAUAGAUUAUCUUUUGGGCCUAGUUCGUGAUGGGAAAUUGACUUAUGAGGUUCUUUGCAAGUUUUUUGCACAAGGGGCUGUCUAAAAGGGGAGCAUUGUGAGUUCUUGCAUGAAUUGAGAGGCCUCAACUACUGGAACUACUGUCAAACAAAGUGCUAAUGACUCUAAAGAUGAGACCAGUUCUGAAGAUGAAAGUUCUGAUGAUGAGCCAUCUAAAGCUGAGUGUUAAGAAGUCUUCUACUGGGAAGGAGAGUAGUUCUGAUGAUUCCUCAUCAGAGGAGUCUAAUGAUGAAGAAGAGGAUGCGCCUUCAAAGACUCCAAAGUAGGUAAUUAGUUGUGUGUACAAAUCUGUUGCAGGCUCUUGAACUUAAUGGUCAACAGUUGUUGGGCCAAGAAGUGAAGCUUUACCUUGCUAAAGAGAGAGGAGCUUAUACUCUGAAUAGUGGGAUAUUUGAUAACUCCUUCCAGAGGAGGCAGGGGUGGAGGUGAAAGUACAACUGUGUUUGUUAAGGGGUUUGACAAGAAUGAUAUUGAAGAUAAGAUCAGGAGUGCUCUUGAGGAUCAUUUUGGUUGUAGCAAAAGUUUUAAACUAACCAAAGUUUCCAUUUUGGAGGUUGUGAAGGAUCACUUGCUGCUGUUGAUGGAUUCAACCCAACACUCUGUUGAUGGAGUUUGUCAAAUAUUGGUGUUUAGUAUUUUUUUUUAUCAUUUCUGUUGAAGGUUAAGAUGAGAGGAAUUGAUGGAUUUACCACUUGUUGCUGAAGUUUGUCAAAUAUUGGUGUUUAGUAUUUUUUUUGAUCACUUGCUAUUGCUUUUGAAUACUAUGCUCAAAUGUUAAUAUAUUAUUGAAUACUAUUGAAUGUUACAACUUAUUUUCUUUC